rnacentral:rRNA from 1 species
CAUGGAGGGUGAGAAUCCCGUUCGGCUGAUCAGGUUUCGUUUACGAUCCGUCCUCAAAGAGUCAAGUUGUUUGGGAUUGCAGCUUAAAAUGGGAGGUAAAUUUCUCCUAAGGCUAAAUAUUGGCGAGAGACCGAUAGCGAACAAGUACCGUGAGGGAAAGAUGAAAAGAAUUUUGAAAAGAAAGUUAAAUAGUACGUGAAAUUGUUGAAAGGGAAACGAUUGAAGCCAGUCGUACCUACGGGUAAUCAACCUUUCGAGCGUGAUUAUGUGGCGCGUGUUGAGUUUAACCCUUCACGCCUGCACAUUCGUGCUCCUUGGGUGUACUUACUCGUGUGGUAGGUUAACAUCAAUUUCGGUGGUCAUAAAAUGACGGGAGGAAUGUAGCUUUGGUCUCGUGCUGAAGUGUUAUAGACUCUGGUAGAUGUGACGAUCGGGAUUGAGGAUUGCAACGAAUACCCCUCGGGGCUAUCCGUCUGAUCUCUGAAGGUUACUCUGGUGCCGAAAGCGUGCUUAUGGUAUCAAAGUUAUCCGUCAAAAGGUUAGAACGCGAUUAAAUUCGUUAAGGAUGUUGACGUAAUGG